rnacentral:tRNA from 2 species
GCGGGCGUAGCUCAAUGGUAGAGCUCUAGUCUUCCAAACUAAUUACGCGGGUUCGAUUCCCGUCGCCCGCU